rfam:Felis catus isolate Cinnamon breed Abyssinian chromosome B1, whole genome shotgun sequence.
GCCUGGGUGGCUCAGUCAGUUGAGCGUCUGACUUCAGCUCAGGUCAUGAUCUCAUGAUCUGUGAGUUCAAACCCAGCAUCGGGCU